UACGUAGGGUGCGAGCGUUAAUCGGAAUUACUGGGCGUAAAGCGUGCGCAGGCGGUUUUGUAAGCCAGAUGUGAAAUCCCCGGGCUUAACCUGGGAAUGGCAUUUGGGACUGCAAGGCUGGAGUUUGGCAGAGGAGACUGGAAUUCCCGGUGUAGCAGUGAAAUGCGUAGAUAUCGGAAGGAACACCAGUGGCGAAAGCGGCUUCCUGGUCCAGCAUCGACGUUCAGGCACGAAAGCGUGGGGAGCAAACAGG
rnacentral:rRNA from 1 species